CCCCAGAUGGCGGAAUUGGCAGACGCGCACGACUCAAAAUCGUGUGGGGUAACCCAUGUCGGUUCGAGCCCGACUCCGGGGACCA
rnacentral:tRNA from 1 species